UAAGUCAGCCACGAAUAGGCUAUCCCAACUAACGGCGGGAAAGACUCCACGGAGGGUGUAAGACCCGUGUGGGCGCGUGUUAAAGCUGUGUGGGCUCGGCCUCUUUUCCCUGAGAGUCGCGUUGCUUGAGCAUGCAGCGCUAAGCAGGUCGUAAACUCGAUCUAAGGCUAAAUAUGUCCACAGAACCGAUAGCGAACAAGUACCGUGAGGGAAAGUUGAAAAGCACUCUGGAGAGAGAGUCAAAAGACCGUGAAACCGCUCAGAGUAUAAGCCCAUGGCAGCUUGGAAGGCAUAUCGCUAGCGGGGCAUCGGUCUCCCUUCGCGGGGAGCUGGUGUUACCUUGCUUCUGUUGUGGCUCGUUAAGGUAGGGGGGUCAAGUCCACAUCCCGCCGUCGUGUGGGGGGUUCUUGGGUGUGUUGUGGUUUCUCGGUUGGCUUCGGCUGGCCGGGGGGCUCUUCGUGCUCGGUUCCUCUUUAGACACGGACGUUCAGACUCAGAGGCAAGACGCGAUAAACAGCCCACCACGGCACGUUGUGAGGUCACCCACAGGCUCGACUUUCGAUCGUGAGCCUUGACGCCGAGCAAGCACAAUGCGUGUCGCAAAGGUUCCUAACCAGGCAACGCUGCCAGGAUCGUGGAACGACACGCGCUCAAAAGUCAGGUUCGGGCGGAGACAGAGUUCUGGUAUGAUCCUCUUGUGACGAGCCGGCUUCUGGCCAAUAUCCGAUGCUCAGGUCUCCCGCAUGUGCCGCGGGAGAUCGCCUUGACGGUCUGGA
rnacentral:rRNA from 1 species